rnacentral:rRNA from 1 species
CGUGUCGUGAGAUGUUGGGUUAAGUCCCGCAACGAGCGCAACCCCUAUCCUUUGUUGCCAGCACGCAAUGGUGGGAACUCAAAGGAGACUGCCGCGGACAACGCGGAGGAAGGCGGGGAUGACGUCAAGUCAUCAUGCCCCUUAUGUCCUGGGCUACACACGUACUACAAUGGGAUGGACAGAGAGCAGCGAAGCCGCGAGGCCAAGCGAACCCCAUAAACCAUCUCCCAGUUCGGAUUGCAGGCUGCAACCCGCCUGCA